rnacentral:misc_RNA from 1 species
GAAAUGCGAUAAGUAAUGUGAAUUGCAGAAUUCAGUGAAUCAUCGAAUCUUUGAACGCACAUUGCGCCCGCCAGUAUUCUGGCGGGCAUGCCUGUUCGAGCGUCAUUACAACCCUCAGGCCCCCGGGCCUGGCGUUGGGGAUCGGCGGAAGCCCCCUGCGGGCACAACGCCGUCCCCCAAAUACAGUGGCGGUCCCGCCGCAGCUUCCAUUGCGUAGUAGCUAACACCUCGCAACUGGAGAGCGGCGCGGCCACGCCGUAAAACACCCAACUUCUGAAUGUUGACCUCGAAUCAGGUAGGACUACCCGCUGAACUUAAGC